AUUGAACGCUGGCGGCAGGCCUAACACAUGCAAGUCGAGCGGAUGAAGGGAGCUUGCUCCUGGAUUCAGCGGCGGACGGGUGAGUAAUGCCUAGGAAUCUGCCUGGUAGUGGGGGAUAACGUCCGGACACGGGCGCUAAUACCGCAUACGUCCUGAGGGAGAAAGUGGGGGAUCUUCGGACCUCACGCUAUCAGAUGAGCCUAGGUCGGAUUAGCUAGUUGGUGGGGUAAAGGCCUACCAAGGCGACGAUCCGUAACUGGUCUGAGAGGAUGAUCAGUCACACUGGAACUGAGACACGGUCCAGACUCCUACGGGAGGCAGCAGUGGGGAAUAUUGGACAAAGGGCGAAAGCCUGAUCCAGCCAUGCCGCGUGUGUGAAGAAGGUCUUCGGAUUGUAAAGCACUUUAAGUUGGGAGGAAGGGAAGUAAGUUAAUACCUGGCUGUUUUGACGUUACCAACAGAAUAAGCACCGGCUAACUUCGUG
rnacentral:rRNA from 1 species